GCUCAUCCCUGAUUUCCUCCAACACAGUGCUUCUGCAGCUCUGCUGUCCUUUCAGUUCCCUGGAUGCAUCAGUCCUUCUCAAGUCUGUUCUUUGAGCAGAACAUUCUCUUCCUUAUUUUUAGUAAACCUGUCCAAAUAUUUUGUCCUUCAUAUCUCAGCUUAAAUAUAACUACCGCAGGGAAAUCUUUCUCGAGCCUCAGACUAGGCUGAAUGUCUUUCUUACUCAUUUUUUACAAAAGUGUGAACUGAAACUUCAGAGGAAAGAUGACUGAGGGAAAGAAUCUGGCAUGACAAAGGAUGCUACUCAAAACUGGCAAGAAAACAAGAACGUGCAAAUAGCAAAAUAAAACUAAGCUACCUGAAAAUAAUUGAAACCCAAUCGCUCUUAAAACAGGACCUGCUCUCUCUUCCUCUCUGAGUUCCUAUGUGAUGCCCAUAACUUGACAGGACAAUUCCACGGUUUGGCUAGAAUCUGACGGAAACGUGUAGCAAAAUGUUUAGUGGCUUCCACUUGCCACGGUUCAGCAGUUUUCAUUUUUAAAUGGAUAUUCAUCUUGUUAAAAUAUUUACUUUAUUGUGAAACUACAGGCAGAUUUAUCUCACAUAGAAGAAGCUAUAGGUAUAACAGGCAUAUGGAGUUCAUUCACCAAGGAAGAAUCCAGAAGUUUCUCUUCAAGUAAGUAUAUCAAUGCCCUUAUCCUAUGAUUAGCCAUUUGUGUAAUAUUGGGAUUUGAAAUAUCCAGGUAUCUUAUAUGUUUCUGGUAUACAAAUAUGGCCUGCUAAAAACUGUGAAAAGGAAACCAAGCACAGAGAACCAAACAUACGUGUAAAAGGAUUUGAACCUGUAGACAUGUUUAGCCCAGGUUCAUUUUGAAAGAUGGGCAGAAAACUUGGUUAGUUUAUUCUUACUGUAUCCAAACCCAUGAUAAUGUCCCCCUCUGAAAGACAGAGAUAUAGAAAGAGUAUAAUUACUGAUGGAAAACUAGUGCAGAUAAAAUAACCUAAGCUUUAAUCCAAACCUCAAACCAUAAGCCCAACCCAAGACUUUUUUUAGGUUUGUAUAGGUUCAGAUAACUUUGGACUUUUAGAAAACAUCAUUUUUGCAAAGUGACACUUCUUGCUUUGUACUGUUAAGAAUAAGCAGGGUAAAUAUAGAGUAUAAGGACAACUCCUGUUAAGAUCCUGAGUUCCUGGCUGACCUUUUGCAAUUGCUUGCCAGCUGAUGAGCUAGAACAAAGAGAGAAUGCAAGGGAUAUAUGUGAGUAAUCCAAUUUAACAGUCAUUAUUGACUCCCUGGAAGAGCUCAACGUGCUAUCAAAAGACAUGAAAUUUAAUCAUAAGAAAAUAAAACUAUGACUACAUAAUGUCUAACCAAUGAGGUCAUGUAUAAGUUAAAAUUUCCCACGUAUAUACAUCAUUUGUUAUUUUACUUCAUGCCAAAUUUCACUAGAAUUAUAGAACAAUAGGAUUUUCUUUCUCAUCUUUUUUUCUUGUAUUUUCUUACUCUACCUCUCUCUCUUUUUUCUUCCAUUUUUUUCCUUUUCUUUUCUUUCUUCCUUUUUCUUUUUUUCCUUACAUAGUAAAGGCUGAAUGGAUAGCAUUCUGCUAGGCAGUUUAAGGGAGCAUUAUAAGAACUCUUCUUUGAUCCCAAGAAGUAUAUCACCAGCUAUCUAUUUUUUACCCUGAAAAAAGGGGACUGCAGAUACCAAUAACAGACUUAUUCUAUAUUUUCUUAUUUAACUUUAGAAUAAAAUAUGUCUUAGCCCUUUCCUUUUCUUUUCUUUUUAGAAGUAUCUAAAAAUUGUAUUACUUAAGGAUACUUCCUAAAAAGACUGUAAGGAAAAUCUAUUGUUUACCUAGCCUCCUCCUUUUCUUAAACAAUUGUUUCUUUCUGUAUGCUCCAUGUGGUUCUAAUAAGAACUGCUACCCUGGCCACAGGUGAUGGGUUCAGAUGUAGGGCCGAGCAGAGAUGGGUAGGGUUCCACCAUGCUUUUCAGAUGAGCCUAAAGGAAGGGAGGCAUCCCCCUUGCAGUGGCUGUGUUUCUUGGAAUACAGAGGGAGCCAGUCUCAGAAUGGAGUCAACUAUCCACACAGAAAGAAAGAGAGAAGUAGACAGAGUGUUGCUCUUAUUUGUGGUCUUGCUUCUAAGAGUGCCUGUGGCAGAGAGUAGAACCCUAACCAUACCACACUUGACUAUUGAGAUUUAUGGGAUAUUCAUGAGGAAGCCAACAAUAAUUCAAAAUGUGAUGAGCAAAGAGUUUGGGGCAUUUAAAAAUUAACCUUUUUUCAAUACGGUUAGUUCAAUAGGGCGGCUCUCCUUAAAAUGUAGUAGUCCUGAGCAAAAUAAAAAUUCAGAGAUAGUUCAAGAGAGUGCUAGGUGUAAAAGAUAAGUUAUGAUGUGUUGACAUAAAGAAGACUUUAGUUGUCACUAGAAAUGUUCCUGUCACAGAUUUGCAAAGAAAAGACAAAUGAUUUGAAACAAUGGAUUGAUCUAUUGAUCUAGUAUCAGACAGACUUUUGUUCAAAUCCUGGUUCUGUCUUUUAAUAACUGACCAACUUUGGCCAAGUUACUUGACCUCUAUCUUUCCAUUUUCUCAUUUUAAAAAUGAGACAAAAGUACUACCCAACUUGUAGAGUUAUUUUGAGGAUUAAAAAUGACACAACCCUCAGGAGAGUGUGGGGCACGUAGUAAAUGUUAAAUAAAUGGUAGCUUAUUAGAGGUUUUUAUUGAUCAACUUCUCUGUGAGAGAUAUACAAGAACAAGCUUCUCCAACUCAGUUUUAAUCUUUUUAGUGAAGCAAUAUACAGAUAUAGUUUAAGCCCUUGUAUUUGCCCUCUGGCUAGAGGGAGGCGUAGCUAUAAAUUAAAGUAAAUAUGCUAGUGAGCAUGCCACAGCUGAAAUCAACUAAGGGGAGACUGCAAUGGGGAGAUGUAAAGAGGGUGAUGUACCAAGGAGGAAGGAGGUGUUUGCAGUUGAUUAAUUACACCUUGAUGUGACGUCUCCUCUGGUUGUAUGAGUUAGGGGUAACUGUGCUAAAGUGGAGUCUUGUAAGUUAAUGUUCUUGAAUUUAUGUAGAUAGCAAUUUAUGUGGGAACACCAGCUUCUUCACAUCAAGAGUCUGAGAGUUACCUCCUGCUUAAUGCUGCUUAUUCGUUCAAUGAAUAUGCAUUGCUUCCUUAUUACAGGUAAGGCAUUGUGUCAAGCACCAUGAUGAAAACAAGCAUGAUCCUCUGUCCUCAUGGAGCUUCCAUUUAAGUCUCUUUUCUGGGUCCUUCAUUAUGACUGAUACUCAUUUCCAGGGAGUUCUCUUCCAUGAUUCCUAUAACUAUUUUGUAAUUAUUUAUUUCCCAAAGAAUACUACAUGUUUUUCAUAUAUAGGUAGUUGGGUACUGGCUGUAUUUGUAUUGUCAAACAUUAAAUACAAUGGAACAACUAUCAUUUCCAUCGGAGCUGCUUGUAUCUGGUCUCCAUUAUCCCUCAGCCGCCUUCCUAAUAACCUGGAAAAUGGCAUGGCCCUUUUGUGAUGCAGAUUUUGAUAUCACCUCUUGCUGUCAACGCUUCCAAACACCACGUGACACUUGCCACUUAUCUUCAGUGGUUUCUGCUACUGAGCUUACUAGUGACUACAUCAAAGCUUAUCACUUCCAAAAUGCUUUUUUUUCGUAUCUGCUCUCAACUCCACCAGAAGUUCCUAGCUAUAUAUCAUCACAAUUUUUUUCUUUUAUUCUUUUUUCAAAAAGAGAUAUAUUCAGCAUAUUUCCAAAAUAACAUAUUCAAAGGAGGCACUGCAGAGACAAAUCAAGAGACUGGAGAUUUUUAUGGCAAAUUUGAAAUGCUAAAAAUAUUAUUUUGAAUUGGUAGCACAGUCUCCAAAUUACUAACAAUGUAAUAGAAUUUAUACGCAAAAAAAUUGCCG